AACGAACGCUGGCGGCAUGCCUAACACAUGCAAGUCGAACGGACCCUUCGGGGUCAGUGGCGCACGGGUGCGUAACGCGUGGGAAUCUGCCUUUAGGUUCGGAAUAACUCGGGGAAACCCGAGCUAAUACCGGAUAAUGUCUUCGGACCAAAGAUUUAUCGCCUAGAGAUGAGCCCGCGUCGGAUUAGCUAGUUGGUGAGGUAAAAGCUCACCAAGGCGACGAUCCGUAGCUGGUCUGAGAGGAUGAUCAGCCACACUGGGACUGAGACACAGCCCAGACUCCUACGGGGGGCAGCAGUGGGGAAUAUUGGACAAUGGGCGAAAGCCUGAUCCAGCAAUGCCGCGUGAGUGAUGAAGGCCUUGGGGUUGUAAAGCUCUUUUACCCGGGAUGAUAAUGACAGUACCGGGAGAAUAAGCCCCGGCUAACUCCGUGCCAGCAGCCGCCGUAAAAC
rnacentral:rRNA from 1 species